GAAAAAAAGAAAAAAGAGAGACCAAUGUGAGAAUAAAGCUUUUCUUUUGCAACACAAAGCCUCUCACACCUUCUGUAAAGACGAGUAAGUGCGGUAUAAGGAGCGCUGCCUGCGUUGGAGCUGCCCGGGCUGACCACCAGAGCUUCAGGACAGCUUCUGCAUGCCCGGCUUCCCAUUCUUCCCAGGCACAAAUGGAUCCACCUUCUGCGUGCGCUGAAAUAGCUGAAGCCAAGCUCAUCUACCGCGCCCCUGUUGCCAGCCUGCAGAGCCCAGUAAGUUCAUCUUCUGAACAGCAGCAGCUGGCUCUGUGAGCUGUUUCUGGAGUGCAGCUCGGCAGUGACUCAUCUCUCCUGGAGCCCAUCUCGCUGCACUUCUCCCCCAGCGAGUCAUUUCUGUCGCUCUGACCGUUGCCCCGCUCUCGGGUUUGCUCAGCCAACGCAGCCCAGGAGGGGCUCUCGAGGCGGGAUGCCAGGGCUGGGCAGAUAACCGGCAGCGGCGGCACCGACUUGCAGUCCUCUGUUCCCAGGAUUGGCCUCCUGCUGGGGACCCGCCGGGGUGGGCUCGUGGGGAGGCAUUGCAGCAAAGCAGCUGGAAGUGCUGAGCCCUGGUGUGUCAGCCCCCAGCAGGGUUGCUGUGUAUCUGUAACAGAAAGAGGUUAAGGGAGGGGAGGGAGGGAGGGAGGGAGGAGGAAAACCAUUGGCUAUUAAUAGCAAAUAUGAGUAGCAGCUUUAUUUUGAAUGCCUUCUUUAAUUAGCGAUGUGCAAGAAGGCUCACAAUGCGCAUUACCUGCUGACUUGCCACGUAUAGAUCCGAGAGAGGCCGACAGAUGAAACACACUUUGCGAAGCAGGGGAGUUUUAAGUAGGCAGAGCUAAACAUCCAAACUCAAAAACAAUCGCUCAGACAGCCUCAGCGCCAGCCUGGGCUCAGGGAAUUCAGCCCCCUCCCCAGCCCCAACCGCCCGCAUUGGGUUUCCUCACUGCUCUCAUUUCACUCCUUGUCUUUGUGCCUGUGUGGAUGGGAAGUCCCCUGAGACAGCAGCAGUCACGUUCAGCGUCGCGGUGCCCAGCACAAACGUGUCCUGCCGUUGGAGGGACCCCCACUCUUGCAACACAGCCCUAUGCAGUGGCUCUCCAGCAGAGCGUUACGUUUGCCUUUGUGUUUUCCGUACCUCCAAGAAGGUCAGCAACAACCAGAAGGUGAUCCAGGGCUAGGAGGCAGCAGGGCAAGCUCACUUCCUUGGCUCUGUAGGUCACAGCUGGGCCCAGAAGCCCAGCUAGAGACUACUAAUGCAUUCAGUCGGGGGGGGGGGGGGAGGACUCAAACAAACAAAUAAAUAAAUAAAGCUCAGAUGCUCGUGGUAAUUAUUUACAUAUUUGCACCUUGCUUUAAAGCAUUCCACGCCGGGUGGCAAAUCCUCCUUCGCAGGGAAGGAGCACUCCGCAGGUAUGCGUGCUAUUGAGCUGCUAAGCGGCAGCGGCAGCCCCAAGGGGAGGUCCGGCAGGCAGACAGCUGCAGCAAAGGCGGGCGGCUGCCAGGUGGAGGCGGAGCUCCUCCUCUCCCAUGGAGGUAGUUCUAUGGGAACGCUGAGUCACCUGCUCCCCGCAUAAAGGAGCUGGAGAAACGGUAAUUACAUGUAAUUUCCUCGCGUUUCUUUUGCUCCUGCACCAUCACUUCGCUUUUGCAGUGAAUUUGGCUGUCGAGUCAGGAGUUUUCUUUCUUGGAAAGCAUUGUAGUCUUGUACCUUGGGCUAAUAUGUAACAGCCUGAUAAGGCGGUAACGGUAAUAGUUCUCAAUCAGCUUCAAAGCAGGGGUAAUCCAUCAUUCCUUGGCAAGCGAACAUUCAGUGCGCAUAAAAUAGCUGUAAAUACUUUGUGGAAUUCUGGCAAAUAACAUUUACACAAAGCUAUUAGCUCUGGGGGUGAGGUUCCUGCAGGCUUCCCCUCUCUCCACUCAGGGAUUUGAGGUGUCUGUGAUGCUCUGCCCGACCUCUCCCUGCCUGCAGUGCUCUGUGGGUGCAGCCCGGUGUCCCAGCAGCACCCGUCACCCUCGGGAAUCCAGGACUGCUCAAAGCCAUGCCACGUUUAGCUCCUUCACUUUCAGCAGCACAUCACCACCUCUCCAAGCUGCUCCAAAAGCAUGUCCUCAAUGCUCCGAAAGUGGGUUGGAAAAGGGUGGCUCCUGCAGCUGUGUUAGCAUGGGCCUGCAGUCAGUGCUUUACACGGUGGCCAAACAAAUGGUCCUCCAUCUUAGAAAGCAGGGAAACGGUGAGCUCCACCGCAGCCACGUUAUCUCUCAAGUGAAGUGAUGAAGAUGCAGUUGAAGUCCAGAGGAAAGCCGAGGAUUGAACUGAACGUGUGGCUCUCCACACUUUGUACAUGUAACCUCAGUGCUGGAUACCCAAAGUGGACGGCUCACUGGGACUGUUACCACCCUGCGUUCCCAAAGCAAGGAGGCCGGGGAAUGCCCCAUCUCUGCCCUCGGCAGCUCCAUGCCCAUCUCCAGCCCUGUGGGCAGGAGCAUGCAGAGCCUCGGGCAGGCUGCGCUCAGGGCUCACCCCUCACCAUGCGUGGCACAAAAGGAACAUAAACAGGAAGCACGAAGCCACAGGAAGUUCGACUACAGAAGUUUCGCUGUUCAUAGAAGCAUUAUUUUUAAUACUUCUAUCACCAUACCUCAUGUCAGGAAAGAGCGUUUGAUUUCUCCUCCUGCUCAGAACUCGGGGAGGUAAAACGUUCCCUCCAGGUUAAAGACUGUCUCCCAACCUGAUUCUUGCCAUGUUACAGCAUGGUGGCACCAAGCUGUGACUGCUCACACCAUUACAAUGGGAGUGCUGGGAUUAGACAAUCAGUUUCCCCCGAAUUCUCUGGCUAUCUGCUUUCUAAUUUCUCCUUCUCUGGUAUCGGCACACCUCACCUCCAGGAUGUCCUCAUCCGCAGAUGCAAACUAAGCUCCAUCCCCUGCCCCGCUGACAGAUGGACCACUGCCUGCUCCAGACACAGUUCUCUCGUCACACUAAAAGCUAGACGGUCUCCCCAGUCAUUCCCCUUGUUAGCAAAACCUUCAUGUUGAUAAAAUACUAUUUCUGACCUCCAUUACUCACCUCCCGCAAUUCCUUCCCUGCUCCUUUUCCCUCCCUUUUCUCCCAGCUCCAUCACGCACCACCAGCUGAACACAGAUCACCAUCUGUGGUUUACCUGGAGGUUUUGACCACUGUUAUCUAGGGCAUUCCCCUGCUUUGAGGAUUUUGCUUCCUGAACACUUGCAGUGACCGUCCUCCUUCCUCAUUAAUUCUCUGCUCCCUGGUCCCUUCCCCCAUGUCCCUCAGCCCUCUUUUGUAAGCCACACGACUUCCUCCUUCCCCCUCUCUGGGAAGAUUUUCUUAGCGUUUUUCAGCCACUUCCCUUUUUCAGGCUCAACGUGCAGCCAUAGACAAAUGAGCAGGCAGCAUCCUGGGCACACACGGGAGUAACCCCUGCCUCCAACCGGCUGCCUGCCGCAGCACAUUUUAAUCCCAUCAACAACUGCACCAACUAUUUAUAAUCAGCUCUCUGAUUACGUUCCUAAGGUCAACGUCCAGCUCAAAAGACUUGGAGCGGCCUGAGUACUGCUGCAGUUUCUCUCCUCCCUGGGGACUCACAGAACGUGCUCAUCCAUAUGUGCCACCUGCCUGCUGGUAGCCCACCUCCCUCCUGGUGGCCCACUCACCACUGCCCUGGAUCACACCAAUGUGGCUCCAUGAGGUGCUGUCAAAGGCAGUUCAAACCCCUGUGCUGGCGUGCCGAGCAGAUGAAGCCCACGUUGUGGUCUGCACACCGUAAACCCCAGCAGGACCCCAAGCCAACUGCUGACAAAGCAAGGUGGUAUCCCCCUUUAGCCAGCCUUGUUGCAUGGUGCCAUGCAGUAGAGGUGCGGACUGCAGGAAGCUGCUUUCAGCUGAAUGGGAUAAAAGGGAAGGCAAAACAUUCUCACUUAAGCACCGGAAAUUGAAAGGGAGAGAAAGAGGAAACGCCUGUGUCUGUUACAAGGGAUCUUACAGAAAGAAAUUUCUCUAAGGUAGCUGUCAAUGUUUAGUUUUACUUACGUUCUCGUACAGAAGAUUGCUGGUUUUUUCCACUGCUCUCCUUAAAGGUGUUAUGGUUAAAUAAGUAGAACCUGUACGUUCUUAAUGACCAUGAAAUGCUAUGGCAGUACCCUUCAUACACACGUCCACCCUUGCAUCAGAUCCUCAGAGCGCUCAGCUAACAUCACCAUUUGAUGCACGUGAGAGAAAGCUCGCAACGUCAUCCUCCUUUAGAGGGAAGGAGACAACUCAGAAUGGGAUGGCCAAUUUCUAUAUAUAAUUUGAGUCCAGGAGGACCAACGAUAUCAUCUAGGUUGGUCUUCUCACACCCCACGCUACUGAACUUCACUGGCUGAGUCCAUGUGAAGCUCACCAUGUUCAGCAGACAGCAACAUCUUGGCCUCGCAGCAGACAGAGCACUGUCACCGGUCCCGGCGAGCCCUCCCAGCUUUGGUGCAGCAGUGGUGACCUACUGAGCUCAGUUCCAAGCCUUGUGUGCAAACCUUGAACAAAACACUUUGGAAAAUGAAUACUGUGCAUCUUUCUUUUGAGGCAUCUUAAUUACACGACCAACUUCAUGACAGAACACAGUGGUCUCUAGCAAAAAGGCAAACAUGACGUGAUUGGAAACGUUAGGCCUCGCUACAGAAUUAGAUUUUUAAGACUCGUGUUUAAAAAGCCACUAAGAGCUGUGAAAGAGCCGCUUCAUUCAGGGCUGUUUCGGUUUUGUUUUUGAGUUGUUUGUCAGUGGGAGUUUGGGAGAUUAUUGUGCUAUCUACGGUGACACCCCGUGGUGGUGAAGAGUAGCUAUCCCUGAACCCUUUAUCUCACAACAACAGGCUCUGCUGUGACUGUCCUGCUGCUUACCUUCACUAACAGGAGGAGAUGUACCAAGAUAUACCACUGAAAGGUAGUUUUCAUCAUAACAAGCCUAAUUCCUUUCAGGAUAUAAGGAGAAAAGUUUCCUACCACGAUGUAAUUUAUCCCUUACUACCUAUACUGUUAAUAUUUCCAAAAGUGAUUUCAAAAGCAGAAAACUAAUACAAGUAACACUGCAUUUAAGAAUAUAAAUUGUAUAUAAAAAUACAUCUGCAGUAAAAGAGGUUACAGUACCUAUCCAGAUGAAGUGCCACAACAAGGCCACAGGCUGCAGCUCGGGAGGCUCAGGAUGGGUGCUGGGAACGCUCUGGGGGCUGUGGUAGCUAUGUUCUUGGGUGGGUACUACAGCAUGGUACUGCCCAGGAAGGUCAUUGUAUUCUUACCCUUAGAGGCUUUCGGGAUUUGGCUAAAGGAAACUGCUGCUGUGCUGCUGCAGCGCUGGUGAUGGGGCUGCUUUGAGUGGGAUGCUGGAAAUGCCCUCUGGAGGUUUCCUCCAACCACUUCUAGGAAUGAGGCAGCAGCUACCAAGGAGGCAGCCUUAUCGGAGCUAAGGCUCCUGGUACUGCUCCAGAAGCACCAGUGUCAAACGCCU
ensembl:lncRNA